GGGCGGAUGUAGCCAAUUGGAUCAAAGGCAG
rnacentral:tRNA from 1 species